rnacentral:tRNA from 1 species
AAUGGUAGAGCUCAGCAGUAGAGCCCAUGCUUAGCAUGCAUGAGGUCCUGGGUUUAAUCCCCAGUACCUCCA